UCCUGGCUCAGGACGAACGCUGGCGGCAAGCCUAACACAUGCAAGUCGAACGGACAAUUGUUUAUACUUUGGUAUAAAUAAUUGUUAGUGGCAGACGGGUGAGUAAUGCGUAGGAAUCUACCUAGUAGUAUGGAAUAGCCAUUAGAAAUGAUGGGUAAUACUGUAUAAUCCCUGCGGGGGAAAGAUUUAUCGCUAUUAGAUGAGCCUACGUUAGAUUAGCUAGUUGGUAAGGUAAUGGCUUACCAAGGCUAUGAUCUAUAGCUGGUCUGAGAGGACGAUCAGCCACACUGGAACUGAGAUACGGUCCAGACUCCUACGGGAGGCAGCAGUGGGGAAUAUUGGACAAUGGGCGAAAGCCUGAUCCAGCUAUGCCGCGUGAGUGAAGAAGGCCUUCGGGUUGUAAAGCUCUUUCAAUAGGGAAGAUAAUGACGGUACCUAUAGAAGAAGUCCCGGCAAACUCCGUGCCAGCAGCCGCGGUAAUACGGAGGGGGCAAGCGUUGUUCGGAAUUAUUGGGCGUAAAGGGCACGUAGGUGGACUAGUAAGUUAAAAGUGAAAUACCAAAGCUUAACUUUGGAGCUGCUUUUAAUACUGCUAGACUAGAGGUCGAAAGAG
rnacentral:rRNA from 1 species